GAAGCGGGAAGUAUGGAGGGAAGUAUGAGGGUUCUCAGUUGAACCUUUAAGGGUUCUACUAUGAUUCGACAGGAUGAGGGAUGAUAAAAGAAAAAGUCAAUUGUGUUAUGGUCUGAGGA